rnacentral:rRNA from 1 species
CGCGUAGGCGGCAUGCCAAGCGUGUGGUGAAAGCCCGGGGCUCAACCCCGGGUCGGCCGUGCGGACUGGCGUGCUUGAGCACUGUAGGGGCGGGUGGAAUUCCGGGUGUAGCGGUGGAAUGCGUAGAGAUCCGGAAGAACACCGGUGGCGAAGGCGGCCCGCUGGGCAGGAAGGCUCGCAAGAGCCGGCUGACGCUGAGGCGCGACAGCGUGGGGAGCAAACA